GAACGACUCUCGGCAACGGAUAUCUUGGCUCUUGCAUCGAUGAAGAACGUAGCGAAAUGCAAUACUUGGUGUGAAUUGCAGAAUCCCGUGAACCAUCGAGUCUUUGAACGCAAGUUGCGCCCGAAGCCAUUAGGCCGAGGGCACGCCUGCCUGGGUGUCACAC
rnacentral:rRNA from 1 species